rnacentral:rRNA from 1 species
AAUCAACGCUGGCGGCGUGCCUCAGACAUGCAAGUCGAACGCGAAAGGUUCCUUCGGGAACCGAGUAGAGUGGCGCACGGGUGAGUAACACGUAGGUAAUUUGCCUUUGGGUGGGGAAUAACAGCCGGAAACGGCUGCUAAUACCGCAUAAUGCAGCGGCUCGACAUCGAGACAGUUGUUAAAGCGGGGGAUCGCAAGACCUCGCGCCUAAAGAGAAGCCUGCGGCAGAUUAGCUAGUUGUAGGGUAAUGGCCUACCAAGGCGACGAUCUGUAACCGGCCUGAGAGGGCGGUCGGUCACACUGACACUGACAUACGGGUCAGACUCCUACGGGAGGCAGCAGUCGGGAAUUUUGGGCAAUGGGCGAAAGCCUGACCCAGCAACGCCGCGUGAAGGAUGAAAUCCC